UCGGAUUACCGCGGCCGCGUCGUGCUUGACAGGGACGAGUGUGCGAGGCCCAGAGUUCGGGUGGUCUGAAUCGGUGAGCCCUGCUCCAGCUGCUGCUGGUGUGGCUGAAGAGGAUGUGGCCCAGGAUCUUCCCCGUGCCCCAACUCCUCAUGCCGCAGCUGCGAGAUGGGGGCAACCGGCAGGCCGAGGCGCUGGAGUUACUAGCCGCAAACACCAGGCGGCAGGGCCAGGCAUCAUUGGAAAGCUGCGCCAGGUUCAACUUCUUGGUGAUGUGGUCCACGAAUUGCAAGGCGUUGGUACCCUCG